UACAGAGGUCUCAAGCGUUGUUCGGAUUCAUUGGGCGUAAAGGGUGUGUAGGUGGCGCGCUAAGUCGGGUGUGAAAUUUCGGAGCUUAACUCCGAAACUGCAUUCGAUACUGGCGUGCUUGAGGACUGGAGAGGAGACUGGAAUUUACGGUGUAGCAGUGAAAUGCGUAGAUAUCGUAAGGAAGACCAGUGGCGAAGGCGGGUUGCUGGGCUGACACUGACGCUGAUGCGCGAAAGCCAGGGGAGCGAAGCGGG
rnacentral:rRNA from 1 species